rnacentral:rRNA from 1 species
GUGCCAGCAGCCGCGGUAAUACAGAGACUGCAAGCGUUACUCGGAUUCACUGGGCGUAAAGGGAGCGCAGGCGGGUGUGUGUGUCAGUUGUGAAAUCCCAGGGCUUAACUCUGGAGCUGCGGCUGAAACUACACAUCUAGAGACUCGGAGGGGUGAAUGGAAUUCCUGGUGGAGCAGUGAAAUGCGUAGAUAUCAGGAGGAACACCGACGGCGAAGGCAGUUCACUGGACGAGAUCUGACGCUCAGGCUCGAAAGCAUGGGGAUCAAAAGGGAUUAGAUACCCCUGUAGUCC